AGAGUUUGAUCCUGGCUCAGAAUCAANNCUGGCGGCGUGCCUAACACAUGCAAGUCGAACGUGAAAGGGGCUUNGGCCCCGAGUAAAGUGGCAAACGGGUGAGUAACGCGNGGGUGAUCUGCCUCUGAGUGGGGGAUAACCUUCCGAAAGGAGGGCUAAUACCGCAUGACAUCCUGUUCUUGGAUGAACAGUGAUCGAAGCUGGGGACCNCAAGGCCUGGCGCUUGGAGAGGAGCCCGCGUCCGAUUAGCUAGUUGGUGGGGUAAUGGCCUACCAAGGCGACGAUCGGUAGCCGGCCUGAGAGGGCGGACGGCCACACUGGGACUGAGACACGGCCCAGACUCCUACGGGAGGCAGCAGUGGGGAAUUGUUCGCAAUGGGCGCAAGCCUGACGACGCAACGCCGCGUGGGGGAUGAAGGUCUUCGGAUUGUAAACCCCUGUUGGGUGGGACGAACACUUUCGUGGUGAAUAUCCNCGGAGNCUGACGGUACCACCUGAGGAAGCCCCGGCUAACUCUGUNCCAGCAGCCGCGGUAAUACAGAGGGGGCAAGCGUUGUUNGGAAUUACUGGGCGUAAAGGGCGCGUAGGCGNCCUGUUAAGUCGGACGUGAAAUCCCUCGGCUCAACCGGGGAACUGCGUCUGAUACUGGCGGGCUUGAAUUCGGGAGAGGGAUGUGGAAUUCCAGGUGUAGCG
rnacentral:rRNA from 1 species